AUCCAGCUGACGAGUCCCAAAUAGGACGAAACGCGCUCGCUGGAU
rnacentral:hammerhead_ribozyme from 1 species